AUACGUAGGGGGCGAGCGUUGUCCGGAAUGAUUGGGCGUAAAGGGCGCGUAGGCGGCCCGGUAAGUCUGGAGUGAAAGUCCUGUUUUUAAGAUGGGAAUUGCUUUGGAUACUGGCGGGCUUGAGUGGAGGAGAGGGUAUCGGAAUUCCCGGUGUAGCGGUGAAAUGCGUAGAGAUCGGGAGGAACACCAGUGGCGAAGGCGGGUAACUGGACUGCAACUGACGCUGAGGCGCGAAAGUGUGGGGAGCAAACAGGAUUAGAUACCCUGGUAGUCCACACUGUAAACGAUGAAUGCUAGGUGUAGGGGGUAUCGACCCCUUCUGUGCCGCAGUAAACGCAAUAAGCAUUCCGCCUGGGGAGUACGGCCGCAAGGUUGAAACUCAAAGGAAUUGACGGGG
rnacentral:rRNA from 1 species